rnacentral:rRNA from 1 species
GACGAACGCUGGCGGCGUGCCUAAUACAUGCAAGUAGAGCGCAGUUACGAACGGGUGAGUAACGCGUAGGUAACUUCACUAUAGCGGGGGGUACCUAUUGGUAACGAUAGCUAAUACCACAUUCUGUGAGACGGACCUGCGUUGUAUUAGAUAUUUGGUUAGGUACAGGGUCACCAAGCCCACGAUACAUACACGACCUGAGAGGGUGGUCGGCCACAAUGGGAAUGAAACACGGCCCAGAGUUCUACGGGAGGACGCAGUAGGGAAUCGUCGGCAAAUGGCGGAAGUCUGACAGAGUAACGUCGACUGGGUGAAGAAGGUUUUCGGAUCGUAAAGCCCUGUUGUGAGAGAAGCGGUAACUAAACAGAAAGGGCCGGCUAACUACGUGCCAGCAGCCGCGGUAAUAC